rnacentral:rRNA from 1 species
CCUACGGGAUGCAGCAGUGAGGAAUAUUGGUCAAUGGACGAGAGUCUGAACCAGCCAAGUAGCGUGAAGGAUGACUGCCCUAUGGGUUGUAAACUUCUUUUAUAUGGGAAUAAAACAGGGUAUGCAUACCCUCUUGUAUGUACCAUAUGAAUAAGGAUCGGCUAACUCCGUGCCAGCAGCCGCGGUAAUACGGAGGAUCCGAGCGUUAUCCGGAUUUAUUGGGUUUAAAGGGAGCGUAGGUGGAUUGUUAAGUCAGUUGUGAAAGUUUGCGGCUCAACCGUAAAAUUGCAGUUGAAACUGGCAGUCGUGAGUACAGUAGAGGUGGUCGGAAUUCGUGGUGUAGCGGUGAAAUGCUUAGAUAUCACGAAGAACUCCGAUUGCGAAGGCAGCUCACUGGACUGCAACUGACACUGAUGCUCGAAAGUGUGGGUAUCAAACAGGAUUAGAUACCCUGGUAGUC